ACAGGGGUAUCAAAUCCGUUUGGCUCCCCUAGUUUUCGUCCCUMAGCGUCAGAUGGGGCCCAGKAGAGCGCCUUCCCCACGGGUGUUCUUCCAGAUAUCUACGCWUUUCACCGCUACACCGGAAAUUCCCUCUACCCCUACCACACUCAAGUYUCCAAGUUUCAAUUGCCGAUCCACRGUUAASCUGGGGGUUUUGACAACAAAUUUAAAAAACCGCCGGCGGACGCUUUACGCCCAAAAAUUCCAGAUAACGYUGGCCCCCUCCGAUUWACCGCGG
rnacentral:rRNA from 1 species